UAUGGAUGGUAAGGAUUAAGGGGCCAGAUCACCUUUCUCCUUCUUGUGGAGUAUCACAAGAUGGAGCUGAGACUGGUACUGGAUGAUACUCUUUGAGAUCAAUUAAUAACAGCUCCCUUUGAAGGCAGCAGCAAAUUAACUAUUGUUCCCACAGUAAUCUCAAACAAAUUGCAUCUCUAGUCGGUGUUUAGGGAUAUGCUUCAUAUAAUUGACAUGCAAGCCAAACAGUAGCAGCAAUAGGAAUCAAACCAAAUGUGAUUUGUGAUUAUAAAUUAUAAUGCCAGCAUUAUUUGACAUUUAAGCACAGUCAUGCCAUACUGUACUGGAAUAUGCCCAUGGUGCCUGACCUCAAAAACUGCCUUGAGAUGACUCGCUGAUCCUGGAAGUCAAAAGCACUUCCUGUGACCAGGAUCAUUAUAUUUUUUUGUUUCAAAAUUCAUAUUUGUGAAUUUAAAAAUAAUUUUUUUCGGUGUAAGUAAAGAAAUAUCCAUUGUUAUGAAGUCAAGAAAUAAUUAUCCGCAGAAAUUGCUUCACAUAAUAAAGUUUAUCAUUCUGAGAGCAAAAACUUGAUGAGUGUUUUUCAUGAUGAUCGAGAAAACAGAAGCAGGUAUUCUUGCAAUUAUAUGAUGAUCCUUAUCAUUGGUUGUCAGAUUAGCAGAAAUCUAGAUCUUCUGUUUGCAGAAGUAAAUGGGCUAUAGUUCUUGAGUAGGUAAUUUACCUUGGAUGCGUCUUUCCCUUCUCUCUUUGAAUUAAUGCUAAGAAGGCAUAUGUUGCACACUAGUUUUUUCCUCUUUGGAUUACUAUUCUAUACUCAUUACAUCAAAGCCCAAACAUGGUGUUCAAAGUUUAACUUCCUAUUUAGCAAGAUACAAAAAAUAUAAGCACCCAUAAUCAUCAUUUUUGAAGCCAUGCCACCACUUCCUGAGGUUAGAAAAUUUUGUGUAUAUAUGUAGUUUUUGUGAAGUUUAGAAGUCAUUUCCCAAAGUAUGAAUUAGGAUUUCUCAUAAGCACUCCAUUAUAUAUAUGUAUGCAUAUGUGAAUGUAUAUAUGUGUAUGUCUGUAUUUAUAUAUGUAUUCUUGCAUGGGGUGCGCAUGGGUGUGACAUAGACAAACAGUAUACUUUUUUAUUUUGAAACAUUAAUGGAAUUAUUGACCAUUGUUUCAUAUCAUAGUCAUUUUAUUACUUAAAUUCGAAAACAUAAUCACAUUAAACAGUUUUAAGUCUUAAUAGGAAACUCUCACAAGACCUCCAAUUAUUUACACCAAGUACGAAUACACGAUUCCUGUCUUCAGCAUAGACUUGAUGUCACUGGAACUGAUGUGACCGUUGGACUGUAGAAAAAUCAAGCCACGAUACAGCAAUAGCGGAGAACUUUCUUUCUUUUCUGCGUAGGCUGCAGAUAAAUGCAAAACGCUAUUAAAUAAGGAAUUUGUUCGAAUAUUAUAAAACAAAAAACUUCAAACCUGUUAUUUGGAAACCACUAGCAAACACUUUCAAUUUCAUCCUUUCUAAAGAUCAUGUGUACAUAAGAUUAAAAAUGUAACUCGACUAGUUAUAUACAUCUAUAUCCAUGCAUCUUCUAGCAUGGACAACAAUGCUUCCAUGACCUUGUUCUAAUUUUAACCUUUUGUUAGGUCAUCGUUCUUUAUAUAAGCAUUUGAUAGACCCUAAUUUGAAAAUAAAGGUAAACUGCCAAAAUAUUCAUGCAAACAAACUAAAACAGGCAUUUAAACUCAAAGGAUCAUUUUAACUUAAAGUGAUCUCUAUAUUACUUUAUCAUUUAUUUCUAUUUUGCUUGUUCAGCACAUUGGACGGUUAAGUCGCUUAGGUUUCUUAUCCUUCUUGGGUAUUAAAUGUUUAGUAGAAUUUUUCUUGCUUCAGCCUUGUUUUAUAUAAUUGAGUCUAGUUGUCUUCCAUCUUUAAAGCGAUCUAUCCAAGACUAUCCUCUUUCUAGCAAGCUAAAAAUGGGCAGAAGAUCUUAGCAUUAGAUUCAUCAAAGAUGCUACUCUGAUCAGUGGAUAUCUAUGGCAAGCUUUGGAAAGAAAUAAUGGUUAAGAUGAGGCAUGUCUCAUUGUAACUAAAUCUUUAUCAUGUAGUUCUUAGCCUGUAAUCCUCGUAGUGUGAACUAUACAACAAACUCUUAUUUGAAGCUAUGCCAGACAUCCACAUUAUCUAAACUCUGUUCAUGAUAUCAGAGCCAUGUGGCGGCAUUGUCAAGCCGAGAUACUUCUUAAACGUUCUCUUUCAGUUUUAAUAAUCUUAUAAUUUAUAAAAUAAUUCCAUAUUACUAUUCAUAUUCCUUUUUCUUUUAUUCUGAGCAUUCUUGACAUUUCUCAACAUCAUGAUAAGAUAGCCUACAUUCCAAUCAAACCCCUUCAUUGGGUUUUUUUCCCCAUGUAAAUUCACAUCCCUAGAAAAGUUAUAAUCAAUGAGAUGUAAUCUCAUCAACUCUUCAUCUGAAGUAUAUUAUAGUUUUGUUAUUGUUGGGAGAAAUAUUGGAUCCCUCGACCUUCGGCUAGACCUACCCCUUUUAUCUCGGACAUAAGCCGAAAAGAACAACCUCAGCCCCAAUCAAGCAGCCGACAAACCGAAGUGAGUUACAUCGGCCCCGGCCGAGAAACCGAUCAGCCAAGGAGCCAUCAGUCAAAGAGAACAAUCAGCACGUGUCAACAAGGACUGACAGUCUUAACAAUCGACAGCUCUAGAAGCCCGUAAUCAUGACAGCGCCACGGCUUGUGCCCCAUCAACGCUACCCACCACCCACGUGGAUUGGGACCCACACCUCGGCUAUACUAUUGGCCGUUACUUGGCUAUCAUUGUAUAUCAUGCAGGCUAGGUAACGACAAAAUGGGAUCCCUAUAUAAAGGGGUAGCCUGGGGACUUCAAGGACUCAUGCAAUACUACUCACAAAAACCACACUCUAUGGAAAUUUCUUUCUUUCAUAUUGUUGCCUUCCUAUUCUAACUUAGGCAUCGGAGGCUCCCCUACCGGAAACUUUUUAGCAAGUGGACUUUUUGCCGGCCACGUCCAGAGGAGAUCCAUCCCCUGCAUCUCAACCAACCUGCUCAGCUCAUCUCUAGCCUACCUUAGUAUCGUCCGAGCUUCGCGCUAACCUCAGCCCGGAUUCGGCGAUAACAGAUUGGCGCUAAAGAAAGAGCUACCAGCCUCCAGUAAUAUUAACAUCCAUCGAAGGAAAAGACAACUAGCAUGAACUCACGAGGAACUCGCAGCGCCGCGUGCUUCGCAGCACCGUGCUUCAACCUUUUGAGGGUUGUUGCAAACUCUGGAACCUGCUCCACUAGAAACAUCCAUCGUGCCUGUGGAUAAUGAGCAGUUCAACCUGCUCACUCAAUAGGUGCAAGCGAUGACCGCGGCGGCUAAGGCCUGCAGCAACAGUGGCCCGACCAAAGCCGGUCCGACCAAAAUCUAGCCAGCCCAACCACCACUCUUAGGCGCCAGCGCAUGGCAAGUGUCUGGUUAGCCACCACUCUCGAGGCCAGGUCUUAGAGCAGUCCCCUAGAGUCGAUGUAGCUAGCAGAACAGUCCUGGUCGGGAGGGAAAAUGUUGUGCUCCCAGUCCCCUUUUUGGCAAGGACUCCACUCCAACCCUGUCACCUCCUCACCGCAUGGAGCCCCAUCCUGACAGGAUGCCGGCCUUGAUUGAAGAAUUAAAGAAAUGGGCCUAAUAAAUUCAGGCCCUUAGGGGAUAGGCUCCGAGGGUGAACAACAACCUCAAUUUUUUCUUGGAGCCCUCAUUCAUCCAGCGAAUCAUGGAGAAACCAAUUCCACCUCGGUUUAAGAUGCUCCAGGUAGAGCCGAUGGCACCUCAGAUCUCCUGGAUAACCUUAAGAACAUCAGGGAUCUCAUGAUGAUUUAUGGAGCCACCAAUGCCGUACUUUGCAUGGCAUUCCCUGCAACCCUUUGCAAGGUGGCUCGGUUCUGGUUCUAUAGGUUUUUGCCUGAUUUCGUUCACUCCUUCGAGAAGCUCAUCCACUUCUUUGCAACCUACUUUGUCUCUAGCCAAAGACAGCAUCACAGCUUAGAUGUGCUACUCAACAUCAAGUAGAAGGAGAAAAAGUCCCUCAGAGACUAUAUUAGCCGCUUUAAUGCACAAUGCUAGAAGUUCGCAACCUAGAUCAGUCGGUCGUGAUGUCAGUAAUGAAGAGCAACUUGCAGCUGUCGAGCUUUUUCUUCUUCCUAGAAAGGUGCUUCCCUGUCGACUUUGCUAAAAUGCUAGCGCGGGCCAACAAGUAUACCAAUGUGGAGAAAGCCAUGUCCUCCCAUCAUGAGUGUACUGACCGAAGACCUCAUUGAGGAGGAAAGGGGAGAUACGAGGAGCAAAGAAAGUUGCAGAGUGUCUCACCUUGGCAUGAGAGGGGCUUAUGACUGUCCAUGAGCUCUCCUCUGAAGUUUGAGAAGCACACCCCUCUCACUACCGCGAGGACCUAGAUCCUCAUGGAAAUCAAAGUCUGAGGCUAUCUGUGCCCUCUGAUUCCAAUUAAUGAAGGAUCGACGAUCAAUAGAGGACAGAAAAAGUACUGUCGCAUCCACCAAGAUUGCGACCACGACACCGAGGGGAGAGUUUAGCUGAAGGACGAAAUCGAAGCACUGAUUCAGCGGGGCAGCUGGACCAAUAUGCACACCCUCAGUGGGAUCGAGAAGUGCUCAUCUUAGCCUCUAAGGAACUGCUUUUAGAACAAAUUAAUAAUCGCCCAACAGUAGACGUCAUCAAUACCAUCGCUGGUAGACUUAUCAAGACCCCCAAGUGCCCCGGGUAGUCAAGCUCUUCAAAAAGAAGACUGUGAGGUGGCCGUAGAUUCUGCACAUGGAUGGUCAUUAGGCCCGAGAGGUAGCAGCUGGUACCAUACUCAUCAACCCUGAUGGAGUAACCACAAAGUACACUCUCCGGUUCAAAUUAUCCACCUCAAACAACGAAACUAAGGAUGAGGCGCUAGUCACCGGACUCAAGUCUUCAAAGGAGCUUGGGAUCCAACAACUGAAGGACUUCAGCAUGCAGAUUGGGGUACCUUAACGGUGCCUCUAUCCCACAUGCUUGGAACUCUGGCAACCCUCACGCCCAUUAUCAGUGAGGUUCAUUGUAGCCUGAAUAAAAAAAUCUUUUUGUUGUAUUUCUGUCUUUCAAAUUGGAUGACUGCGACAAACAUAUUUGACUUGGGUCACUCCGAGGAUUCUUGGGCCUCCUCAAGACUAAGCUUACUCAUAAUUUCUUUGGGACUAUAGUUUAGAGAUGAGGAGAUCCGCCCCCGCACCGAAGGCUUGGCAUGCCACUCGACCUCUUCAGAUCAUAAAAUAGCUCAAGCAAAAGACCGGCCCCCACGCCGAAGGCUUGAGAUGCCCCUCGACCUCUUUAGGUCGUAAAUGGUCCAAGCAGAAGACCAGACCCUGCACCAAAGGUUUGACGUGCCAUUCGACCUCUUCAAGUCGUAAUUGGUCUAAGUAGAAGGCCAUCCCCUGCACUGAUAGCUUGGCAUACCACUCGACCUCUUUAGAUCGUAAUGACCCAAGCAGAAGACCGGCCCCCACAUCAAAGGCUUGGUAUACCACUCAACCUUCAGGUCAUCAAUGGCCCAUACAAGAGAUUGGCCUCCACCGAAGGUUUGGUGUAUCAACCGACCUUCCUAAGUCGAAAACAUCCCGAGCAGAAGACUGAGCUCAUCCAAAAUUUCUCUCGGAUCUCAAUCCAGGGAUGCCUCUAGGACCAUAAUCCAUAGAUGAAAACAGACAUCUCGGGCCGACCUAGGACCUUCUUCAGCCUACCUUGCUCAGAAUUUCUUGGGAGCUGAACCCAGAAAGAUUGACUAAGGAGCCAAGAUGGGCUGAAAGCCCCCAAGGGGAAGAGCUCGGUGAGAUAACCCAAGCUCAAAUCAAGUGGUCAAAUGCAAGUGAAGGCUAAAGUCAGGUACUUCAAAAAAUUUCUUUACUUUCAUUAUUUUCUACUAAAUACAUUAAUCUCGAUAGAAACUAUGCCAAAAAGAAUUACAACAAAAGGUCGAAGCUUGUUGCGAUGACCUGGACUCAAACAGAAAGCAAACAACAAGGACAAAACCAAAGCCAAGUACUUUGGAAAUUUUUAUUUUCAUUAAUACUAUGAAUUUUUACACUGACCUCAACGGAGGUGAUCAAAAGGAAAGUACACCGAGCUCAGCUAAUCCAAGCAAAGAAGCAAAAAUGGUGCGGCAAGAGACCUCAUCCUUUGCCCUUGCCUUCAUUAGUACCUUCACCAUGACUGACGUUGCCACCUUCUCUAUCAACAGGGUCCUCACCUCUGCCGCCCCCACCUUCACCAAUGUCAUCAUCAUCAUCAUUGAGACCAGAGAAGUCCAUCCCCAGAGAGAGCUACUAAGCCUGAGCUCGCCAUUCUUCGAAGCCCUUCCCGAAGGCAUCGGUUGCGCUCUCCAAGGCCUCCUCUUUGUACUCCUCGGAGGCAAGGUACUUCUUGACCGCCUUCACAACCUUCGCCUCACCAUAGAGGACUUGCUCUCUGGCCUCAGCGGCCUGCCACUCGUCCUUAUUGGCCCUCUGCUAGGCCUAGGCUAGCCAUGUAGAAAACUCCAUUGCCUUCAAAUUAGUGGCUUUGAGGACCUAACUGGCUACGCAUAGUUGGGCCUCCUUUAUUUCCGCCUGGGCCUGCAUGGCCGAGGCACGACAUUUCGUUGAUCUGAUCUUGUCCUCGACCGACUUGUCCUUCACCUUGGCCACUUCAGCCCGCUCUUCGGUAGCUUUUCAUUUUCCCUUGAGGGCGGAAAUCUUGAAUCGAGAUUUCAAAAGCCUGUCCAAGGCCCUUUGAUUACCAUGAGACAAGUUGGUCCGAGGCGCCCUCCACAUAGCCGAUCUGAGACGCCCUCCACAUGGUCUCGAACCCUUAUGGCUGCUUAGAGUGAGCAAAGAAAAAUCUCCCUUUCCAUCUAUAAAUGGAAGAGAGAGUGCCUCAGAUCAGCUGGCGAUCUUUUCGAGGAGAAAAGUGUCACCAAUUGCUAUUCUGAGGAUGCUUCCUCCGAGUGAAAUACCUCCAAAAGAGGAAAGUCGAGGCCUAUAUGCUCAAAGAAAACAACGAGAGAGGAAGCCAACCAGGACCCGCCAGGAAUUCGGAACCAAUUGGGUCGCGACAAGGCUAUAGGCCCUCAUUAGCUUGACAAAAAAGGGGUAGAGAAGUAACCUCAGCCCGGCUUGUAGAGUCUCCUCAUACAGGCUGAGCUAAGGAGGGUGUUGGGUAACUUAGUCACUAGGAUCGGUGAGCUCGAAGAUGAACUUAGGAGGAACAAAAUGAUGGGCUCAGACAAGGUCCAUCUUCUAUUGUGUGAGAAUGAAUGCCUCACAGUCUGGGCCGAUUGGACCCCAGACUCGGCCGAAGGUGACAGCUACCAAGUCUGGGGAGAAUGGUCUAGUGACUAACUCCCCUCUGAGGCGUUAACCUCACCAUCGCUCAUGGUAGGGGAAAUAAAGAAGAAAAUAAAGAAAAAGAUGAAGAAAUGGAGAAGGGAGAAGACAAGAAGAAGGGCUGAAUAGCCAAAGAGCAAAGACCCACUAGAAAUGGAGAAGCAGGAAAAAUACUGGAGCUGGAGAUGAAAGACUUCGACAGAGUACCACUCGGGGGCCUAGAUGCUUAAGCACUCGGAUGAAAGAGCAAAUGGAGAAACAAGUAGAGACUAAAGGUCGGGGAUGCCCUUAUAUAGGGGCGCGAACGACCCGGAUCAAAGCAUCAGUCUAGCUAUCCAGGCAGAUUAAGCCACAUGUCAACACAGGACACGACAAGGGGUGAUCCAUCGGAUCGCUGCAUUAAUAGCAUCUAGAAGUCGCCCUACAAUGAUGGCAUCUCGGGAUGGCCUGAAUCCAUCGACGCUUUGGAAAGACAAAUCAGCACAUUUAUUGCCCAUGAAAAAAAUCUCACCCUCAAUUGAAGUGACAACUUGACUUCCAUCGUCCGAACUAAGAUGCAGCUCAGUCUCGGAAGUGGGGGGCAAGUGUUGGAAAAAAUAUUGGACACCUCGAUUUCGAGACAAACCUACCCCUUUUAUCUUGGACAUAAGCUGAGGAGAAUAACCUCAGCCUCGGCCGAGCAGCCGACGAACAAAAGUGAGCUACCUCAACCCUGGCCGAGGAGCCGAUCAGCUAAGGAGCCAUCAGCUGAAGAAAACAAUCAACAUAUGCCGACAAGGACUGACACUUUUAACAACCGAUAGCUCUAACUGCUUGCAGUCGUGGUAGCGCCAUAGCCUGCGCCCCACCAGUGCGGCCUACUGCCCACGCGGAUUGGCACCCACUCCUUAGUCGUACUAUCGGUUGUUAUCGGCUAUCAUUGCAUACUAUGUCAGGUCAGAUAACGACAAAAUGCACUCUCCUAUAUAAAGGGGCAGCUUGUGGGACCUCAGGUACGCAUGCAAUACUACUCACAAGACCAUACCCUAUGAUAAUUUCUUCCUUUCAUACUGUUGCUUCUGUAUUUUGACUUAGGCAUCGGAGGGUCUCCUACUGGAAACUCUCCGGCAAGUGGACCUUUUACAUGCCACGUCCGCAGGAGAUCCACCCCAUGCACCUUAGUCAGCUUACUCAGCUCAUCUUCAGCAGACCUCAUGAUCGUUCGAGCUUCGCGUCAACCUUAGCCUGGAUUCGACAGCAACAACUAUAUUAUCUCGGUCUUUCUUUUCAAAAACCAAAAUUUAUAUUUUUCACAUUUUUUAGUUAAGUGGCUUCACCUACUAAAUUAAUAUGGAAUAUUUUUUUGUGACUACAUGUGCCACUUUUGGAUCAUAUACCUUAUAUGUCCUUUCAUACUAAUAUAAUUCCUGCCUUACACAAGGCUUGUGUAGACCAUAUACUAUUAAUUAAUGCACAUCCUCCUUAAUUUAUUGAGAUAUUCAAAAAAAAAUCAUGAAGUUUGGAACACAGCAGAACCACUAAUAAAGUUUCAAAUGCUAGGAUCACCAUUAGUAGCACAGUAGGAUGGCCAACGGUUGAAAACUUCUGGUAAAUAUGGCCCUUAGACCCACCAAUCUAAGAUCUUAAAUGUGCAACCCCCUACAUACCUAUGAACUCUAGCACUUUUUGUUUUCUGCUAAGGAACUAAGAAUUUUUUGCAAGAGCAAAGAAUUUUAGCAAUUUCAAUCAGCACGUUAGUAGAGCAGGAGUUCUGUUGCUUAUGAAUGGAACUGCAUGAUGUGCUUGAUCUAAUAUAUGUAAUGAACUUCUCAAUGUUUUAUAGAUAUUGAGCUUUUAUUUGGAGCUUGAUGCCAAAUAGAAAUGCCAAUGACUUGAUGAUGUCGAUAGGUUACCAAUUAAAACAACUAUGUGACAUCAUCUACAUCAUAGCAUGCUUUUGCUAUGUCAUUUUGCUCCAAAUAUUCUAUGUCCAAUAAAAAACCAAUUGGUAAGGAUUUAUAACAAUAUUUUGCUCACAAGCUUCCAAACAGGUUUUGUAACCCUGGGUGGUUUUUGUUUUGCUACUAAGAUUCAACCAUUCCCUUGAACACAUUGCAUCAAUCAUAAGGACUACCAUCUUUUUAAGGCUGCUAGAUUGACCUAAGAUUCCAAUACAUAUAUAUCAUUCCAAACAAUUUGCAACUGAUGGGGAUUACUCAUAGAAAAGUCUAAUCAUCUUUUGCAGAGUUGUCUACAUUGAUUCAAACUGAUGUUCUAUGUCAAAACAUUCUGACUCAUUAGUAUUUUGGUAUUCUUGUAGAGGAUGAUUUGUUGGUUAGAAAACAAGAAUUCUACAGAAUAAAUUAAUUGUUGUAUAUCAACUGGAUUUUUUUUUUAACUGAGAUACAUAGAGUAUAUGAAAGAAAAAUUAAAUACAUAGAAGUAAGAAAGAUUUUAUUGACAGUAUAUCAAAAUAGCUGAAAAUAUUGUGUCAACAAGAAAUUAUUUAUGCCUUUUUAUUUGUGUUUUAGAUCAGUCUGUGUUGAAUUUUUUACAUAUUGUUUGCUUCAAAUUUUUUAUUUUCUGCUUUUGUCAUGAAAGACGUUAAUAAUUAUUUCUCUCAAGACAAUAUUUUCAAGUGAAAAGGACUACUAAUAAUAGUAGAAACAACUAAAUAUUCAGAGGGAUGUGUAUGUUCUUGUCUCCAACUAUCAACUGUUAUCCUCCUUUCUGAGAUGAGGUUAAAGCAAGGAGAAAUCCUAAGUAUCUUUUUUUUUUUCAAAUUGUUUCUGGAUAUCAAGCCCCUUAUUCUUGAUAUGUGACUUCAUUAGGUCCAUGAUCUAAGGUAGUGAAAUUACUAAGCAGAACAGUGCCACACAAGUUAAGCCCCAUAAAUUUUAUUGUGUUAAUUCUUGAAUUUCUCAAAGUAUUCUUGAAUUUAUAAUGUAAUUUUUAUAGACAUCUGGUGAUGAAGAGAGUCCUAGUCUAGCUUUUUGAGCUUAUUCUGAAUAUUAAAUUCCACGUUGCCAUCACAUCAGUCAUAAUGCUAUCUCACACGCUAUUAGAUUGGAAAAAUGACCAAGUUGUAGAAUGCAAUUUACAUUUAGAGACUGAUUCCUUAAGACAUCCAUAUAUACUAAAAUUUAAAGAUAGACCAGUGGGACAUAGGGACAAAAAUUUCAAAGGGAAUUGAUCAAGAAUUUGAAAAGAACCAUACUGUAACCUUUUAAGUUUCAAAAUAGAUCUUGUUAUCUACUUCACAUAUUUUUAUAAUUAUAUUACAUAAUUUUCCAAUAAUUUAAAAAAUAAUAUUAACUAUUUGGGAGAUAUUUGGGUUGUUGUACAUAUAGUGUAUCGUGUUCUUUAGGCACUAACUAAAUUCAAGGCAUCGACAAAUGUAACCUAACCUCUAUUACAACCCACUUAACCCACCCCAAUCUUCACUAUAAAAGGUGAAAAUAUAACAGAGGAAGAAUAAUGAAAGUAGUAAUCAUGUUCAUAUUUUUGAAGAUGUACCAAGACUCCAGCCAAAAGAAGUUAAUUUCAAAUGGAAACUAAAUCUAUGAACCUUGUGACUCGCUCAGCAGGAUCAAAAGAAUGCUUGAAUACAGAUGAUCAAGGAGUAAGAGAAAGAAGAGGUUAAAUUCACUAUAGUGCAAGAUCUCAAGUCAACUUCUAUACUGAUAUAGAUGAACAUUAUGGGGCCAUGGUGUAGAGAAAGAUAAUGUAAAUCCAAGAUUGGACGUAAAUAUAUAUUAUAGAAUGAAAUAACUUCAAAAAAUAUAUAUCAAAAUAGACUAAAUAGGGCGAAGUAAUGUUAUUAAAUGUAAUAUAUGAAAACUAGAGGCACUCAAAGUAUUUAUUGCUCUGUUAUAUAUCUUCUGUUAAGGUCCUUAACAUUGGACAACCUAAAGGACUUAGAAGAUUUUUUUAAACAAUUUUUUUGAAUGUAACUGUCCUACUUAAUGGUUUAUUUAAGGCCUUCUUAUAUGAUUUUAUCUAUUCUAUAUGAUUACCAAGUAAGACGAUAACAUAUUUUAUUGAGCCUCGUUUGAACCACGAGUUCGGCUAACUAAUGCUCUAAUAUUCUAGUCAUUUUCAAGCUUCUUAAAUCCUUUCAAAGAACUCUCAUUCAUGUUUUCUUAGGUCCUCAGUUUUCCAGGGAUUUCGAUAUAAACUGAACAAAUAUAGCUUAUUAAGACCUCAUGUAUUUUUCCUUAUACAUUCAAGGUUGUCUUAAUCAAUUCUUUACCAUUUUCUUCAUAUAUUGUGUAAUUUCUAUAUAUCUUCUAAUCUUGGAGAUAUGAUUGCUUCAUGUUUGAUGUAAAAUGACUAAAGAUACUUGUUUGAUAUAACAAGGGUACGCAUUAGAUAUUUAUCUGAAGUAUGGCAUAAGUUCUAUCUAUUCUCUAAUCUAGUAGGCAUGGUUGUUUCAAAACAGAUGCCAUGUCCAUUUCUGAUAUAUAAUGAGUAAAAAGACUUGUUGAAUAUAGCUGGGGUAAAUGCUGUUUAUUUAUUUUAAUUAUUCUAACUUCCUCAUCUUCUUUUUUCUAAAUGUUAAACUUCUAAGGAAUAAAUGACGCAAGAUUUGUAUUAGAUUUUGUAAUGUUAAAGGUAUGAUAUGGAGUAUGGAUUAUGAUAUGUGUGUGUGUGUGUGUGAGAGAGAGAGAGAGAGGGAGAAGAGAUCCAUGCUCCACUUAGAUGCAAAAACAUGCUUCGGACUCGAACUAAAUCAUAACAUUGUGAACAUAUUCACAAUAUCUACCUUGGCGCAUACUAAGAGGGUGCCUAACUUGUUUAGUUGGCAAAGUCACUAGUUGUUGAUACCUUUCAAACCCUAUACACAUCCAGUUUUGGCCAAACUUCAUCCCAUCCUAGUUCUAAAAAAUUAUGAUCCAUAUCGAAGACAUGCACUUUGCAACCACAUGGAUGCCCAAGCCCCAAUUAUAGGAUGCAACACCUAGAGUAUUGCACUGAAACAACAAAAUAACCAAAUCAUUCCUUUAGAAAAUCUUAGAUUUAUUAAAAUAAAUAAUCUGCUUAUAUGUUUGCUACAAAUAUUUAUGUAGCUUAUUAUGUUUACUAGGUAGUCCUGAAAUGAAUUGUUGACUACCAUGCAAUUCUUUGCAGGAUGCUGAAUCCAAGAAAAAAGAAGUAGGAAUACAAAGAAAAGAAUGAUAUACCGUCACAGAGCCAUCUUCAUAACGCUGAUAACGUUGGUAUGCCAUGAGGUCCUCUUCAUACCCUGGUCGUUUCAGCUCAGUCUUGUUCUGCUUCCUAUUAGCACGAGCUUGUGAAAAGACCAUGGAAUAGUUAGUGGCACCUCCAGCCUUUUGAUCCCAUCCCCCAAAUUGAGGGAUAGCCUUCCAACCAUUCUUCUAGAGAAAAAAAACAAAAAAAAAAGAAAAAAACCUCAAUUGAUCAAUAAAUGGUUAAAGAGGCAUAGAUAAGAACAAUUUUACAGACCAAAAGUUCAGCCCACAUAACAUUUAUGCUCCCAUAGAAUAUUGUGAUUGCAAAUGGAGACAAUAAACGAAUAGCUAAUUUAAUAUAUGACUCAUUGACACAGAAGAUUCUACAUAAAAUUUUAGACUGAGUGCAAAAUAACUUUUAACAUUCAAUAAAAUUGGAACGAUACAGAGAAUAUUAGCAGGGCCAAAUCCUUAAAAGAAUUUUAUACAAAUUGAGGAGUGCCACAAAUGGUAAAAUAGACAGAAAACAUCAAGUCAAUUUUCUUUUACAUCACAGCAAUUGUUUUACCUAUUGCUAUUAAAACAAAUUUAGAAAUAAGUAACUGAAAUGUUAAUUUGGUUAAAGAUUGGUUUUAAUGAACAUGAGGUCAUGCAAUGAACAUCAGCCCCCAGCACAAAAGAAAAAUGUAUAAAUUAAUGCUUCUUUUCUUGAAAGGAAAAUGCUCUCUUACUGCAAUUGAUUUGAAACAAACUCUGCAGUUGAUAUCAAAGAAUAUUCUUUUCUAAACAUUCAAGAGAAAAACAAUAUAAAGUUGUUAAAUUACAAUGCCCCUAAAAUGAUUAAACUGAACUAAUAGGAAUCCCAAAAUAAUGAUAAAGUGAAAAUAUGAUCUUUCUUUCUUUCACGCUUUUGAAAUACCUCUUUGAGGUGCUCCAUGACUCGUUCAGAGCGGGGGAUGGGGAUCCUUGGAGUCUGAUAUGGCCAACCCUUAUUUAUAGAGGUGCUAUUGAACGACAGAAGCCUGAGGGAAUGUUUCAAUAUUCCGUUUUCCAUGGCUUUCCUUAUUUAUCCUCCUUGUUGUCUUUUUCUUUUGGGUCCUUUCAGUUUUUUCUGUUUUUUAAACAACAGAACAAUUCUCUUAAAUGGAAUGUGGUGGUCAGACGAACCCUCGGUUGCUAAUUCUGGUCAAAGCCCCAAGCUUUUAAGCUUUGGUUUGCUCGUUUUGUGAACACCAAGGUUUUCUUGGACCCAUUAAUGCUGGUUUAGCAACUUAAUAACAAUCAACCAUUCCAAUGCCUCCUGCAAGUCCAGCAAUUAUCUUUGUAACGAGAUCUCCUCCCCUCUAUGAAGGUAUGGCUCCCAGGGAUCUUCCUCACAACUCUCUCUCUCUCUUGAGCCUCUUCUUUUGCUCAUGAUCACUGUCCUCACUCCACUCUAUAUCUCUUUACGCUAUAGAAAAAAUUGUUUUUUCUAACUCUGAUCUACCGAUGCUAGAAAAAAGCGUCGGUAAUUUAGUUACCGCACCAAAAUUUGCCGGCGCUUUUUAGUAGCGUUGUCAAAAACCAAACUAAAAUGAUGCUUAUAAACGUCGUCUAAAGCCAAUAAUAAGACGAUGCUUAUAGGCGUCGUUGGAAGCCGAAGCCAAGAAGGAUUAAGACAACGCUUAUAAGCGUCGUCCGAAGACAAGACUAAGACGACGCUUAUAGCUCUAAACGCUUUAAAGCGUCGUUAAAAGAAGCAUUACCGACACUUAUACGCAUUGCUAAGUGCUUGAUUUUCGACGCUUACAUUACCGACGCUUUUGCGACGCUUUAGGAAGCAUGGGAAUAAAACUACGGAUGCUUAUAAGCGUCGGUAUAUACAUUAAAAAGCUACAGCAAUGCUUGAUUUUCUUGUGGUGUUAGUACUUAUUCAUGAUAAAAAAAAACAAGGUGAACACAAUGAAGUCCUUGGUUAUGACUAGAAAUUUGUGAUUAGUUAUAUGACUAUAAAGACAGCCCUUUCAUCAAAAAUCUCCACAAAUCUUGAUUGGUGAGCUUGCUAGGUUACAAGAGAGCUAAAAUUGAUCUGCAGCACCUUACAUCGAAUCAAAUCAUGGCUGAAGUAAAAAAUGGCAGAGAACACACCACCAUAACUACCCUUCACGAUUGUGCUUAAGACAACAACAAAGAUAUGAAGAAACUAUAGGGCAUAGAACCUCCAUGCUUGGUUUCGUGGGAUAACUGAUAAAAAUAUAUUAGGAGUCCUAUUUGAAUUUGCCUUUUAUCUUAAAAAAUCAGUGAAGCUGGUCGCAAAGCAUGGCAUGGGUGCAAGGAAUGCUAAAUGUGGCUCCUAGAAACUUUCAUAUAAGCAUAUCUACGAGGAAAAUGUUAGUCGAACCCACUAAGGGGAAUGAAAUAUGAGACAUCUUGAUGAAGCAUUCUACUUUCUCAUACACUUAUUGAGAUCAUGGACUUUGCUCGGGGGGUCAUCUUCCAGAGGCAGUACCUUCGAUUUUUAGCAUUUCACUUUAGAGAAAUGUCUCCAAAAAAUUUGAAAAAUUAAAAAAUUCACAAAAUCAAAAAUUAUCAGUUGUCGGCUCUACUUUAGAAUCAGAUAGGCUAGAUAACAACUUAUCAUUUGAGGAUCAUUCCACAGUAUCUUUCUCAAAUUCUAAGGAUCAUACUUUUCUACAACCAGUAAGACAUCUAAGGAGCCUUCUAAUCUGGAUAUGCCUGUGUCUCACAUUCUCUCUCUCUUUUGGGGCACAUCCUGAAACCCUCGUUCUUUUGUUCUUCUGCUAUUAAAGCCCAACAUGAGGACUCUUUUCCUUCUGGUGAUUUUCUUGAAGCCUUUUCCUUUUCUAAUGAUUUUAAGGCACAAUGCUCCACUGUUUCUGAGAUUCAUCUAAAAUGCUCUUCUUUUCGCUCCCCAAGCUAAUCUGCACCACAAGCCUCCCUGUCACACCCUGACCAUGUAUGUGAGCUAAGGAUGCAGUAAUCACCGAAUAUUUAUGGAAAACUUUUCCCAAAGAAUUCCAUCAUAAUAUCAUAAGUCAUACAGUGGAAUAAUUUAGAUAACUUAAGACCAAACUUUAAACUUAAAUAACUAAAAUCCAAAAUUUAAUAUUUCAUAAAAAUCCAACAAUAUCCAAAGGUUUAAUAUUAAUCUUUAAUAAAAUUCUAAUCUAAAUUAAAGAAAUCAAACUUUGCUUCAAAAGUUAAUUCUCUGAAUCUGUCAAAUAGUAUGAUACCGGUUCAUGAACUAAACAACCCAAUAAGUAAUGAGCACUUUAAUUAGAUAAAUCAAUCAAAAGGAUAAUAAGAAAUUUUACUGAUAAUAAGAAUAAGGAAUAUAUUAGUUCAAAAUUAAAUCCAACAUUAUCCAAAUAAUCAAAUGUUAAGGUAUUAUCUUCACAUAGAAAAUAUCAUGCAUUCAAAUCCAAUGUUUCCCAAAAUUUAAGUUCAUGAAUCCAAUCUUGCAAAAAUAUCAUGUUCAACUCAUCAAACAUGAACUAUGACUAUAUCGUCCCUAUGGUAGAGCCCUUUUUAUGAUACUACUUCCUUCUUGGAUUCUACCGUGCCUUUUUUAUGGCAUAUGUCCUUUAGGAUAAUUCAUGUGCCAAUAUUUAACCUUCAUUGACAAGGUCUUUGCGCCAAUGUUUAACCCCCAUUAAUUGGUGGGGUUCUUGUGUCGCACCUUUUUGUGGCAUAAACCAUUCUAGACAAGUCAAGUGCUAACAUUUAACACCCAUUGUUGGGAUCCUUAGCAUAUUCUAGCCAAGAGUCCAAAACCAAUUCAACUCGAAGCUUUUUUUUCACAAUUAUAUUUCAUGUUCCAAAUUUAAAAAAACAUAAACUAUAUAAUAUUGAAAUUAAUCGAUAAGUGAUAAGCAUAAUCAAUAACAAAAAUAUUACUUUCAAUUAUGAGUCAUAUAAUAUUCAAAAUAAAACAUACUAUUCAAUAAUAAUAAAAAUACUAAUCCAUCAAAUUCACAUAUCACAUAUAGUACAACUCAAAAUUAAUUAAAUAUUGUAUAAUUUAUUGAAAAAUGUAGAAAAAGAUUGUGCAUUACUUAUCUUGUAAAUACAAUCAAAUCCAAAUAAAUUCUGAAUAUUUUCCUCCAAAACCUUAAUUGAUGGGCUAUAGGAUAGCGCCCCUUGUUGGACAUUUUCUUGUCCAGGCAAUCACAUCUCUAUGCAAAAUCAAGUCCAAUAAUUACAAAAGGUAUGAGAAAUUGUAGAAAUAUAGAUGGCAGAAUUGGAGGAAGAUAACAAUGCAAGCCAGUUUGGGUUGUUUGAUAGCUCGACUCUAUUAGAUAUGAGUAAUCCAACUGAUAAAAUUACUGAAAAAUAAUUAGACUGGACCAAGGCACAGAUAACACAGUGGAGGUUGAUGAUGAUAUAACCUAAUGGUACCUGACGAGGGUUGACAUCGGGUGCAGCUAGCUCAAGACCUCGUACUAAUAGGGUAGACCAACAAAUCAAAUGAAAGGGAGAGGAAAAAUAGAGGGACCCGCUAGGAAAGGAAAAAAGAAAGAGAGAGAAUAGGGAAGGACGGAGUGGGAGGGAGAGGCCCACAAGGUCUCUCUCAAGAAGGCAGUCAUGAUUGUGAUGACUUGAGGGUGGAAGGGGUGGUUCAUGGCCGGAAGGCCAGAAGUCAGCAACCAUGGCAGGCAUUGGCGGUGUUCGAUAGAAGAAGAAAAUUUAAAGGAAAAUGGGGGAAGGCAAGAUUGAUUCAAACAAUGUCUAUUUGAGGCUUUAAAUGCUAAUCAGGAGCUGACAUCCACUGAGCGGCCACAUGGAGUGCUAAAGCUGUGAGGAUCCGUACGGGCAUAUGUUUAGUCACACAUCGGUUAUUCGCUAGAUAGAUUUUAGAUACUUAUAUGAAAUCAAAGAACUCAAAUAAUACCUUUCGGCUAGCCAUUUUGGAUGAGGUACAGGAUUAUUACAAAUGGUAUCAGAGCAGAUUCGGCCCAUAAUCUAUGUGGAUUAGAGGAUGCUGCAACAUGGAUCCAUUGCAGCUGACCAUGAGUCGAUUGUGGUGUUUAUGAUUAGAUUUGAAAAGAUUUAAAUUUUAGUCUGAUGAGGACGUCAGGUCGAUUAUCCAACGCCUCUUACGGAAUGAUUGGGAGGUUUUAACAGCCAACUAGCAGAGCGGUCUAUCUGGGCCUUGCUUGGGUAACAAGCCAAGCUGUGUCCCAAAAAGCUCCAAACAGGUCAGGCGGUCUAAGGCUUGCUCAGUCUUAAGCCACAAAAGGGCCAGAUAUUACAUUUUCUCCCCUCCAAGAAAAUUUUAUCCUCAAAAUUUUCUAGCCCGAAUCUUCAGAAAGACGCGGGUAUUUUUACCGCAAUUCAUCCUCUAGUGGUUUGUCUUUUCCUCCUUUAAUAAAACCUACUCUAGUACAAAUUCAAGCCAAGUCUUUCAUUAUAGCGCCCUCCAAGUCAAAGUUAUUAUUUGUUGCCCAAAAUGGUGACCCAAGAGAAAGAACGAGGUAAAGUAGAGUUUCAAAAUUUUGCACAAACUUAAAUAAUAAUUAAGUAAAAUAAAUUUAAAAAUAAUAUAUAUAGUGAAAUAAAUGAUAAAUAAGUACAGAAGAUAACAACAAGCAUAAACAAAUUGAACACCAAGAUUUUAUAGCAGUUCGGAGCCAAACUUAGCUCCUACAUCCAUUUUCCAAGACUUCAUUCUUGAGAAUUCUACUAUAAUCCAUAAACAAGUUUAUAACUUGGUUGUUUUUCGGACUAACAAUCAAACUUAAUUUAUUUUUUCUGGCAAUCAACCAAAAAUAAGCUGUUUUGCUGGUACAGCUAAACCAAUCUCGAGUUUCAACACUUAGGACCUCAUUGCCAAUUUUCAAGCUCGGCAAAACCUAAUCAAUUUUUCAAGAUAAUCAUUCACAACCUAGCUAUUUCAUGAGUAUAGUCAAACUUUAUAGGAUAGCUGAUUUUUAACAAUGCUAGCUACACCAUAAACCCCACAUGAGAUUUUCUAAUCUCAUGUAUUAAACAAAGAUAGAAAAUACAUACACAAUGACCUUUACAAAUAUUAGAUUUUUCGUAUUGUAGCUUGUGCUUGAUUUGCUCUGAAUAUUGGGUUCUCGAAGAAUGAAAGUUAGUUCUUUCUCUUUCCCUUUCUUGAUUGUUUUAUAUGUUGUGAUAGAACUUGAAGCUCUAAGAGUGGUGCUUGACUUGUAUUCUUUUUCUUUUACCUCAUCCACUCACUCUCCUUGAUCCCUCACUUCUCCAAUUUAAUUUGGAAGUAUUUAUAGAUUGAAAAGUUCUUGAGGAGCUAUUUCUAACCGUUUGAAGUCGUUUCGUACGUUCCAUGCUUGUAGAAAAAAUAGCCGUUGAAGCUGUCACACGCAUAAGGGGUCGACUCUUGAAGUAUUAGGGUUGACUCCUGAAUCCUGAGAUCAACUCCUAAAAUCUUGAGGUUGACUCUUGAAUCCUAGUGUCGACUUUUGAAAUGUUGAGGUCGACUCUUGAAACUAUGGGGUCGACUCCUAAAGUAUUUGAAAAUGACCGUCUUCUGUUUCUGACCUGUGGCUUUCUAGGGUCGAAUCCUACAAAUCUAGGGUCGACUCCUGGGGUUCUGGGGUCGACUCUUCUUCACCUGAGGUUGACUCCUCCACUACAAAAGCUUUCAAAAUACUUCUAAUACUUCUCCAACUUUGAAUUUUUUUUUCAAGGCUUUUUCAUUUUUCUCUAACCUUUCAAACUCAUUGAGCUCACUACACAACAAAUUAACCACUGCAAAAAUACAAAAUCAUUAGUAUUAUACUUAAACAUUUUGUAAUCAUCAAAAUUAACCCAUUGGGUCAAUAAUCUCCUCCUUUUUUAUAAUGACAAAACUUUAAUAUAUAAAAAGUAAAGCAUAUUGUGUUUCUAGGAUUUAUGCAUAAUUAAUUCAUUUAUGUCAAACAUGAAGGAAACAAAUAUAUGCCUUAAGAACAUACUUCAUGAAUGCUUCAUAAAACUUUGAGAAUUUUAGAUUAACUCAAGUUAAUAUAUUCAAUAUAUUCAAUUAUGCAUAUACUCAACCUACUGUAUCCCCCAUUUUGACGGCUUCAAAAAGUUGCCUUUUGAAAUUAGAGAAUGUCAAAAAAAUUAUAGCAGCUUCAAAUUUAUCUUAAUCAAGUUUCGGGAUAAUUGAAGAGCUUAUGGAUGCCAGCAAGAAAGAUCAGAUUUAGAGCUUUUAGUCAUUCAACUUUGACGUAUCAGACCACUUGAGGUUCAAGAAUUAAGCUUCAAAAGUUUCGUACUUAGCAAUAGUUAACUUUCUCUCUCCCCCUUUUUCAUUAAAUUAGAGCAAUUAAAGAUUAAUUAUAUUGGUAUUAAAGACAUCAAAUAUUGCAAUUUGAUUUUUAAACGAAGCACUUGAUGCACCAACUUAAUAGCAAGUUGAUCUUUUGGAGCUUUCGGCUAGAGGAGUGUUGACUUUUUGGAGCUAUUCGGCUGGCAACCCCAUUCUUUGGAAACUAUCAUAAAAUAACACAUUGAUUGAGCUUCCAUUAUCAACAAGUAUUCUCUUUACAUCAUAUUUUGUAAUAGUAAAAAAAAUAACUAUAGUAUUAUUAUGAGGAGUCUGUACUCCUAGGUUGGCAUCGAAGAAGGUGAUGAUGUCCCCUACACUCGUCUCUUUGGGGCAGCUUUGGCUUCUUGGGGAGCUCGGCUGCCCUAGUCAUUUGGGACCUCAGGAGGUCCACCAGCGAUGGUGUUGAUGACGCCUGCUAUCGUAUGGCUGUCGAUCGGCUUCGAAGGUGACGAAUUAGAGGCUGAAGUAGUCGCUUCUCGGUCCUACCAAGUGUGCACGUAUCGAGUCGCCCAUGCCGAAUGAGCACCUCAAUUUCAUCCUUGGGCUGGAUGCACUCCUCGGUGUCAUGGGCGUUGUCCCGGUGGAAGCAUUAGUUUUUUUUCUGGUCCUUCUUGACCGCUGGAGUCCUCAUCGGGCACAGAGGGAAGAGGUAGCCUUGGCCCUCAAUCUCCAUGUGGAUUUGAGUCCUUGGGGCGGAGCGUGGAUUGUACGUCCCAAAGUUCCAAGAAGGGCUCUUGUACCGCCGUGAGCCGCUCUCAUGUUGAGGUGAGGCAUCCCUCGACUCCCUCUACUCUUCGCGUCCCAUCUUGGAUCCUUUGGGAAAUCUUCCACCAGCAGACUCGUGAUAGAAGGCCAUGGCUUCCUCCACUUUCGCAUACUUAUCUGCACACGCCAGCAUUCGACAAAGUCCGCCGGAAAGCGCUUUUCUAGGGAGAAGAGGAAGCGCGACGGUCGUAGGCUGCUCUUCAUUGCCAACAUCAAGACCGAUCGAUCUAGGUCGCAGACCUCUAGUGUCGCCGCAUUAAAGCGGCUAACAUUGUCCCUGAGGGACUCUUUCUCUUGCUGCUUGAUGUCGAGCACCACGUCCAAACUAUGGCCCCAUCUCCGCUGGAGAUGCAAUGUGCCAUAAAGAGGCGGGCGAGCUGCUCGAAGGAAUGAAUGGAUUCAGACAGAAGCCAAGAGAACAAGAGCUGAGCCACUUUGCGAAGGAUCACGAGAAACACCUUGCACAACAUGAUGUCGGUGGCUCCAUGCAACAUCAUGAGAGCCUUGAAGCUCUCUUCAGAUGAUCCAAGAGAUCAAUGGUGCCGUCUUACGACUCCAUUUGGGGCAACUUGAACUGAAGUAAGAUCAGUUCCUUCAUGAUCUGUUAGGAGAAGGAGGCUUCGAGGAGAACUUGAGGUCGUUGUUUUUCCUUGGAGCUUGUCCUCUAAGAUGUUGGAUCUACUAGCCCAUUUUUUUGAUUCUCCUAUCGAGGUCGGCAUUCCACUGAGGCAAGGGUUCCAUAUGGAGAGGAAAUGAGAGGCUCGAAGUGGAGUCUCUGCUUGAAUGGGGGCUUGAAGUACAUCGUUUUCCAUUCCGACCAGGACCGCUCUGUUGAGUGCAUUGGCUCUAAUGUGACCGCUCGGGGUCCUGGUCCUGAGAGUGGUGGCUAACUAAGCGCAUGCAGUGCGCCGAUGACUAAGAGGGUGGCUGGGCUAGUAGGAUUCCGGCGGGACUGACUCCGGUCGUACUGCUACUUGCUGCAGGUCCUAGACCGCCACGGUCAGCGCCUAAAACUGUUGAAUGAGCAUGUUGAAUUACUCAUUGUCCAUAAGCGCAAUGGGUUGUUCUGGCAGAGUAGGUUCUGGACUCUGCAACGACCCUUGGGAGGUCGGAGCAUGGCGUUGCAAAGCAUGUAAUAUGUCGUGGGCUCCUUAUGACCUCAUGCCAGUUAUCUCCCCCUUCGAUUUAUGUUGAUGUAGUUGGGGGCAAGUCCUUUCUGUAGUUCCAAUCUAUUGCCGCUGGAUCCAAAUCGAGGUCGGAGCGCAGCUCGGACAACUCUGAAGUCGGCUGGAGGCGAGCUAGGCAGGCUGGUUGAGGUGUGUUGGAGCUGGCUUCAUCCGGAGAUGGCCUGUAAGAAGUCCGCUUGUCGAAGAUUUUCCGGCAGGAGACCCUCCGAUGCCAAAGUCAAAAAUGAGAGACAACAGUAUAGAAAGGAGAUAAUUUCGGCAGAGUGAGGUUUAGAUUUUGCAUAGCGUGUGUUUCUAAAUUUUUGUUGCAUGCCGGAAGUCCCUUGGGUUGGCUUCCCCUUUAUAUAGAGAAGUAUAUUUUAUCGUUACCUAGGCUAACAUGGCAUGCACUGAUGACCAAAUAACAGCCGGUAGUACGACAGCGGUACGAGAGUCAAUCCGUGUGAGCGGCGGUAGUGCAGGUCGGGCGCAGAUUAUGGUGCUGCCACGACUACGGGUUGCCAGGGCUGUCGAUUGUUACGACUAUCAUCCUUUGUCGACACAUGCUGAUUGUUCUCCUCGACUGAUUGGCUCUUCGUCGGGGCUGAAGUUGUUCACCUUGGGUAGGCCCAAGGUCAACUUAUGCCAAGGUCAUGGAGAGGUCAGUGUUAUCCAAGGUCAAGUGUUCAAUACAUUUUUCAUUAGGUGGGAUCAAAAAAUCUAUUUAAUAAAUAGAUUAGGUUCACAUUUGAAUUUUUUAUCUAUUUAAUAAAUAAGUUUGAUUCAGAUUGCUGAAUUUUUGACUCGAUCUGCAUUCAAUCUAAUUCAUAUUGGAUUCGAUCUAAUCCAAUUGCGACCCCGCAACCUAGUACACUAAAGUAGAAUUCAUAAGCAAUGUAUUAAUCCGCUAAAGGUGAUGUAGCGGCAAUUCUCUACUAACAACUAAUUAAUGACCGGCAUAACGCAUCCUUCACGGUCGUCCUCAUGCAGUACUCCUCCGUUUGCUCUGAUGUCUUCAACAUUGCUAUCCAAACUACAUCCCAACUCGUGCAGUCGGUGGCCGACGUCGUACCGGUGAGGCAACCGCGCCGACGGCGGUAACUCCAUCAUCCAUCAUUUUGCACUUAUGGCAAUAAACCGUGUGGGAUUUUAAAUUUAUAAUUUUCUCUCAUAUUAUAAAUAGUUCAAAAGAUUCGAAUGGAACUUUUAAAUGGGGUUAGAGAGGUGGACGUGAUACAGUCGUACAGAACUGUACUUCGUUUUUCGCAGGUGGAAGGUAGGAACGAGAUAAGGAAGGGAAGGAAAAAGAAAAGAAAAAGGUUGCAUUGCUUCCGAGCGUGUCCUUGAACUAAUUGAACAAAUAUGUUGUAUGCCACAAUGCAACGUAAGCUAUCCAACAUAUUUGUCCCUUAAUUGGGUUCAACAAGAAAUUUUUUUUUUUGCUAGCAUCUAAUAUAGUAUAUAUCAAUUAUCUAAUUGGCCAUUUUUUUAAUCUUAAAUCUUAUAUAAUAAAUUCCAAGUAUUGAUAUAGACCUAAUUCAAUACAACCUGUGUUGUAAGUCCGCCAGGUGAGGUGUUCGUCCAAGAAGCUGGAUAGACAUCUCAAUAAAGAAGUUGGUAUGGGUCACAAUUACAAAUUAAACUCCAUCUUAUUCUCAACGUUGAAUAUAUACUUAUCUUAUUUUAACAAAACUUUAUUUUAAUUUAAUGACCCACGAAUUCUUUCGAGAAACAAUGAGCAAUGAAAUUCUCUGCUGAUAAUAAUCAAAUUUCUAUGCAAGUUAUUAUAUCCCAUCGAUCAAGAUACUGGAAUAAAUUGUUGCUUUUCUAAUGAUCAAGGGAAUUGCGCGCAUCUUUUACAAUAAUCACAGGAAAAGAAUAUGAGGCAAGUUGGAUUGUCCUUAAAAAAAAGAAAGCUCUCAGUUUGGGUGUCCCAAAAUGACUACUCCGUAUCUUGCUCCACCGCAUAAGAUACCACAUAUUUGUUUGAAAACGACUGCUCCAGCCUAACAUAAUUUUUUUUGAUUUUAUCUAAGUAUUCAAAAUUUAUUCAUCGAAUAAUUGAUAUGGAACUAAACACACGUCCACACAGAUCCUCACAUUAUCAAUCUAAUAAGAAUUAUGAUACUAACCUAUUUAAAAUUAGACUGGAUGGGGUUAUAGUGGUCCCAAAAACAUAGAAUAUCCACACUUUCUAAAUGGCAGGGGGUAGGAUGUGUGGAUUUGUUCAAAUAAUGAGAAAAAUCUUGAAGGUUAGCAUGCCUUAUAAAGCCAAAAAUAAACAAAUAAAUAUUUUUUUGUCGGUUCCUUUGUAAACCCCACUGUGAUGGAAAGUCUUUGGUUUCAUAAUUGCCGGUCCACAGACUAGCGUUUCUCUCUUCGCUCUGAAAUCUCAACUCUACUCUUCCCCACCCACCCUCUCAUCCGCUCGAAAAAAUUUCUAACCUCACGUGCUCAACUUCCCUACCCCAUCCCUUCUCAUUCGACAGAAGUUCUUUCUUUUUGACAGAAAAGGAGGCCAGGCUACCUAAAUCUAUUAAGAAUGAAAAAAAAAGUACAAAGGUAGAGGGAAGUACAGACAAGAAAGUAUGAUAAUAGUUGCAAUAGUUUUUACACAAUAAUGAAAUACAAUCAAACAAAACCUUCAACUGAUUUAGCGAAAGGACAAAUAAAUUUUUUUGAAGCAAGUCCAUUUCAAUGAAAGAUGUAUUCAUAAUUUGCAAGUCCAUGGUGUCUGAUAGAUGUUCUCAUGUGCAGAUAGAGUCCGUUUUCUUCAAAGGUGCAAAAAAUUAAAUGACACUCAUAACUCAUUAGGUGUAUAAUAAGAUAGAGGCUUCUUUCACUUUAGAUUUUGCCAGCGGGUCAUCCCUUGCAUUUUGAAUGCCGCCAGCAAAAUAGUUUGGUCAGACACCUCAGGCUUAUAAAAUACUCCGUAGGACAGUAAUCUACUUGGAUUUUCCAACAACUAUAACUUUAAUGGUGUCAGCUAUUUCAUUCUCCUGAGUUGAAUUGGGACGAAAAUACCCCUGUAAUAAUAGGCUAAGGCUUCUAAUAUAUGGUCGAUACGAAUACCAGCACUAAACUAGCGUCAUGUGCGUCAUGUCAAGGUGAUAAGGAUCAAAUUCAAAAUCCUCCAAAUUUGAAUUCAGUUAAGACAUCCUACAUCAAGGCAUAAUCUCCUCCUUGUUACCUACGAUAGCAAGAUUUACCCAAUGUCAAACCAAAUCACAUUCACCCAUGAUUAUAGGCAUUCUGAUAUACAUUCCUUAUAAACAAUAUUUUUUAAUUUUCAAAUAUAAUCAAAAGAUGUACAUUCAGACUUAUAUAAAACGGAGUUUUUCUACUAAAUUGGUACGAGAGUUUACAAUAUCUUUUUCAUCUUUUCAUAAGGAAAGCUAUCGACAAUACUAUCUUACCACCAAGCAUACUGUGCGAACAAAACUAAAGUUGAUAAUUAUGGAAUGAAAAUUUUGAUAAAAAUAGAGUUUGACGAAUUUACCUUGUUGAGAUCAAAACAUAGGUAAUCUAAAAUUGUUUGGAUCAUUUUACAUAUAUAAAACCAUCACUACAAUAUCAGUAAGUCGUGUGAAGUCUUAGUAUGGAGAUCAUACCUUUCUACUGCUCAAAUGCCCUGCCUCCCAUUUCAGAGAGAGCCUCAGCAAUUUUUUUCUUUUUUUCAUCCCUUUUGAAUUUAAGAAGUAGGGAGAGGUGGUAACUGUUUUUAAACACCCCAAAACCAUUCCUCCUAGUCCUGGAUCGUUCCAUCAUGGGGCCCAACUUGUAUCCAAGAAACCCAACAAUGAUAUAUAUAAACAUUUAAGUAUCUGUCAUGUUAGGUAGAGCAAUGCUUGAUCCACACUCUUGUGUUGUGGAAAAGACUUAAAGCCAAAUUGUAUGACAUUAACGUUAUUCUAAAUAAGUCUACGUACGCUUUAGAGCUAUGGAAGAUAAGCUCGAAUAUAUAUGUCUCUCAUUUCCUUCUCAACCCCUCCAUAUCAAAGUCUAAUAUCCCAUCCAAAGCAUUAAAUCAACGAUCGACUUUACUUGUGAAAUACAAAUAGUAACAAAAUCUUUUCCUCAAAAAAAAAAGGGAAAACCAAAUCUAGCGAUAGGAUAUCCUUUAUAGUAAACGAGGAGCACCACCUCUGGCGGCAUCAUGUUUAUCUUGUCCUGUCCCCAAAGGUCAGUUAAAAUUGUCUCCUGCCGGGCAUCGACACAGUCUCACUAAAAUUCCUUGCUAAUAGAAAGAGAUCAGGAGAGGUACCAAAAAAAAGUUAAAAAAAUAAAAAAAGCAUAAAUAAUAAUUGUUGUAAAGAAUUAAAUAAAACAUUUAUCCCAAGGCUUACAAUCAUCCUUCUCGGAGAAGUUUGUUGUCCCUGUAGCCACACUUUCCUAUCUAGUAUAUGAAGGUUCCUGGCUUGAGAUUUUGAGGGCGCAUCUCCAAGUAUUUACAAAUUACAAGUAUGCGCUUUGUUGCCAUAGUGAAGAAUUUCUAUGUUUCUAGAGGAAGACUCGGCCACGGUCAUCAGCUGGAUCCGAAGGGGUCCAAGAGGUAAUGGUUGCGUCCACUCUUUGCUCCGAGACAUCUGAGCCUUGGUGCGGGACAGAGGGACCUUCCAGGCCAAGCAUGUUUUCCAUAAAGCAGGGCUGCGGACUGGGUGGCUGCUGAUUAUGUAGUCAGUCACUCUGACAGUACCCUGUGGGCUGGAGAUAGGAAGCUGCCCGUGGUACUCCGAGGCAUUUUGCUUUUUCGAUUUUAUUGGGUGUAUAUCCGUACUCGUCAGGUAUGAUCUACCCGCCUUAGUACCAAAAAAAAAAACGAAUUUCAUGUUCAUUAUCUAUUUGUUAUUAGGUUUAUGUAUUUCUGACAUUCUCGAAACUUUUGUUUACCGAAACAUAUUUUAAAAAUUAUUUAGACUAAUAAAUAUCUUCUUUGACGUACCAGUGGUACAUAGUUUGGCCAUUGAUGGCACCGAAAUUCAAGUUUGAAAAUUAGCCCACGAUAUUUUUAACUUAUAUUAAAUUUUAGGGUCCUCUCCUCCCUAUAUAUUCUCUUAUAGCUGUCCACAUGUUACUAGGUCAUGGUACAGAUCUAUCUUAAUACGUGGUUGGUAAAUGGAUAUAUACCUCUUACGUGACUUCGAAGAUAUAUGAUUAUCUCCAACCCUAAGUGAUAUCAUCCCUCGAAUAAGAUAUAUAAUUGUCGUUUCAUUGCUCGGAACCAUUCAUCAUCGUAGGAUCCAUCUUCCAUGCUUACUUCGUCAAGGCCUGAUACGAUUCCAAUUCUGUCUAUAUAAACCACAACCGAGAACACUUCGCCAGGCUCUUCACCAAACCCAUCCAGAAGAGCCAUUCGAGGCCGUGGACACCCACAGCAAACCACCAUGGCCAUCGAUCCAUUCCUCGUAGCCUGCGCUUUGCUUUGCUUCCUCCUCCACCUCGCCCUCCGCCACUUCCUCGGCAAGCCCGCCUCCACCCUCCCACUCCCCCCGGGCCCCCGCGGCAUCCCCAUCCUUGGCGCCCUCCCCCUCGUCGGCUCCACCCCCCACUCCUCCCUCGCCCGCCUCGCCAGGCGCUACGGCCCCAUCAUGUACCUCAAGAUGGGCACCUGCGGCGUCGUCGUCGCCUCCUCCCCCUCCGCCGCCCGCACCUUCCUCAAAGCCUUCGAUGCGCAAUUCGCCAACCGCCCCUCCGCCAUCAGCGCAAAGGAGGUCACGUACGGAUACCAGAACAUGGUCUUCUCCAACUACGGCCCCAAGUGGAAGCUCCUCCGCAAGCUCGCCAGUUUCCAUCUCCUCGGCGCCAAAGCCCUGGCCGACUGGGCGCCCGUGCGCCGUGCCGAGGCCGCGCACAUGGUCCGCUGCAUUCUCGACGCGGCUCGGAUAGGCCGGCCGGUCACGCUGCCCGACGUGCUCGUUUGUGCUUUCGCCAAUAUAAUUAGCCAGAUAACGCUGAGCCUGCGCAUCUUCGACGCCCAAGGGGAGGAGUCGAACCAGUACAAGGACAUGAUCGUGGAGCUGUUGACCGGCGGAGAUCUGUUUAACAUCGGGGACUUCGUGCCGGCAAUCGCGUGGAUGGACUUGCAGGGAGUGCAGGCGAAACUGAGAAGGAUUCACAAGAGGUUUGAUGGGAUGGUAACGAAGCUUUUGGAGGCGCACGCGGCGUCGGCCAAGCAACGGCAGGGGAAACCGGAUUUCUUGGAUGUGAUUAAGGCGAACAGGGAAGGAGAGGAUGGGCAGACCAUCACCGAUGUAAACAUCAAGGCGCUCGUCUUUGUAUGUCCUCCUAUGCUCUAUCACUAUUAUUUACUUAAUAUCUGGGUCCAACUCUGCUACCUGUUAAUUUUGCCGUGGUAUUCGCUUGCUUUCCUUUUUAAAUCCGGAGAUCUCAAAGCAAUCGGGACCUUUUUUUAUUUACUUGGGACAAUCUAUCCUUAGUUCCAUCAUCUUUGCAUUCUCUUAUCUUUUUAAUUUCAUAGGCUGAGCUGCCGCUGUACCAGCAAGACUUAAUAGUGGAUUCGCACGAAGAAAGAUAAAUUAAUCCUUCUUUGGUGCGAAAGAGACAACCCUUAUCCAUCCCGCAUGAGCCUCAGUACACCAUAACAGUCCCAUAAUGCAUGGAUAGCCAUGAUUAUGGAUCCUCAUCCUUUAGUUGGGUCCACUAGGGUAUACAUGGAAUUUAAUAACAUGGGUGCAAUAGUUGUUGCAAGGAAUGCAUCUGUUACUGCACAUAAAAUGUUUCUUGGGAUAACAUAAUGCUAGCCGAGGAACUACUUCUUAAAAUAUAAAAAUUUUGGCUAGUUAGACCAAUUCUCUCAAAUCAUGCGGCAAAGGAAAUUUCCGGGUGCACAAAAUAGGAGUUUCACCAUCUUUGGUGGGUGAAAUUUAUUUACCCCCAUAUUGCACUUUAUAGGUGCGUCUUGCUUUAACAAAAAUGCAUCUAAAUUAGUUCAUUUCUUAGCUUAUUUCUAAGGGAAAAAAAAUCAAGAGGUGUGUCUGUUUAAAACUGAGAGUAAGUUAUUAGAUGUGAGUCACGAUAAUCAAUAUUUUCUUACGUGAAAUUAAUGUUUUCUCUCACAAACAUGACGAUAUGUUCAAUUUUUGUUCUUUUGAAUUGGAUAUAAAUUGUUAAUGUUAAUGCUAGAAUCUUUUUGGUAGUGUCACCAAAUGGUAGAUACGCACAUCUGUUGAUUUGACUGUCCAACUGCUUGCCCCUUGUUCCAUCAUAGUUGCUUUAAUGUCACGUAUCACGUUGUCCUUAUAUGAAAUAUUCAUGAUUGUUUGGCCUCACGUUUUUAUUUUUCUCGAUCAAUUAGCCUCACGUAUUCCCAAAGGUGUUAUCCGGGAAAAAGCGAAUGGCAAAUACCCAUGUUUUUUAAAUGGAGAUAUCUUCAAUAAUAAACUUCUGGAAUUCCAACAAAUAUAUGCACACAAAUACGUAAAUAUAUAAAUAAAUUUAAAUAUCAUAAUUCUUGAUGGAAUCACAACCAUCCAUCAAACAACUUCGAAUUUAUUUUAUUUUAUUUAAAUAUUACUUAUUUUCUUCCUUUGGGUACUUUUUGUAUUUUAUUUUCAUUUAGUUCAAAAUUAUUUCUCUUAUGUUAGGCUUAUGUUUAUUGUUCAAAUUUUUCUCACUCACAUGUAUUAUAGUGUCAAAUUGCUAGCUUUUUCAAAAUGAAUUGUUCCAAGAGGAAAGCUCAAGUACAUACUCUAUGAACAAUAUUAAUUAGGCUACAUUGCAAGUUAUAAUUUAAUUUGUAAACACAAAAAAAGUUUUGAAUACAUAGGAUAAAACUACUAUAUUAUUAAAUUAUAAAAUUGUUAUAUUUAUUACUUUAAAAAAAGUUCUUGCAGCCAUUUAACCACUGCAGAUUUUGUAAAAAAUAUAAAAUAUAUAAAUAAAUUUAUCUCAUCCUAUCAGCUUAAUUAAGCUUUUAAAACAAAUGGUGAUUUCAACAUGAUAUCAGAGCAGAACCAUCGAUGCAAGCACGGAAAAUCAUAUUUACGGACAUUAUAUAUGUUUAUACUGCAAUUAUUUAUGUAUGACAGCAACAUGACAUAGGGGUGACGUUUCAACUUUCUUAACUUGUAAGUGAACGAUGAGAAUGGGCGCCCAUCAUCCUUUAUCCGACCACGAUUCAUUGAACAUUUCUUUUGUCAUGCAUCAUUCCUCAAUAACUAAAACAAUGGACUGCUCGAUCCUUUUGUGGUCAUUUUGUAGUGGCCAGCAAUAUAUAUCAUGCAUGUAGGCAGAUCUUAAUUAUUUGUGGACAUCAUAGAUGCAUACACUGCAAAUUUUAUUGCAGAUAUUUAUAUAUGACAGCAGCAUGGUAUAUGGGUGACGUUUCAACUUUUUUGAAUUUGUAAGUGAACGAUGAGAAUGGCCCAUCAACCUUUAUUCAUUGAAUUGUAAGUGAACGAUGGCCGACCUCUAUUUUGUCAUACAUUUCUUUCGCCAUCCACCAUUUGCUCCAACUUCGUUAAAUAUUGAGCCAACGCUAUCCCAAUUGCACUAUGAAAUGGAUGGACGUGUACAGGCGCAGAUUCGUCCACACACGCAAAACUAAUUAACAAUGUUGCCGAUAAUUUUUUCUUGAUCCAUGAUAUCUAUGUUCCAACCACCACCCUUAUCUAAUACGACCGCGACGUGCAAAUUAGCCACGGUUUGACAUUUCCGCCCUCCUUUAUUUGAUCAAAAAUUUUCAGAGAACUUUUAUUUUUUCAAAUUAGAGGAGAAAAACAAAUUAAUUUAGAACAUGGCCACUUCCAAAAUCAAUAUGCUCUUGCUCUUGAGUCUAGAUCCAGAGUGCAUGAUGCAUGCAAACUAAUAUAUAUUCAUUCACUGACAGGAUCUAUUCACCGCCGGCACCGACACAUCCUCCGUCGUCAUCGAAUGGUCCAUGGCCGAAAUGCUCAAGAACCCAAGCAUUCUGAGGCGUGCACAAGCCGAGAUGGACCGAGUCAUCGGCCGAGACCGUAAACUGGAAGAAUCCGACAUACCCCAGCUCCCAUACCUUCAGGCGAUAUGCAAGGAAGCGCUCAGGAUGCACCCUUCCACCCCUCUCAGCCUCCCCCACUUCUCCUUCGACCCAUGCGAGGUCGAAGGCUAUUACAUUCCUGGAAACACGCGUCUUCUUGUUAACAUCUGGGCUAUUGGUAGAAACCCCGACGUGUGGGAGGAUCCCCUGGAAUUCAAACCGGAGAGGUUCUUAAGCGGCAAGACAGCGGAGAUAGACCCUCAAGGCAAUUACUUCGAGCUCAUACCAUUUGGGGCUGGGAGAAGGAUUUGUGCCGGCAAACUGGUGGGAAUGGUAUUCGUCCAGUAUAUGUUAGGUACGUUGCUGCACUCCUUUGACUGGAGUCUUCCUGAAGGAGAGGAGCUCAACAUGGACGAGAAGUUUGGCCUGGCUCUCCCUAAGGCCGUCCCUCUCAAAGCCUCUGCAAGUCCACGGUUGGCACCGGAGGCCUAUAUAUGAAAUACCGUGCUUUAAUUUACUUGCGUGGUUGUUUCCCAAGGAGUUAAAUAUUUUUGUUUUAUAUCAAUGUCGAUUGAGUAACUCAGACAAUAAAUGGAUAAGGAAGCACGUAUGUGUGUGGUUGCGUGAAAAAAGAGCCUUGGGUUUCAAUCUAACAAGAAAGACAGAGAGAGAGAGAGAGCGCCAUAACCAUUGGGUUUGAUCCUAUCAGAUCCCAUCUGAAUGUGGCUUACUUUUUUCAGAGAUUUAAACAAUCCAGGUUCCACGUUAAGAUAAGUUUGUAGUAAUUAGAGUAUGUGAUGAGUUCCGUACGUAUCUUAUUUUAUCCUAACUCAAAUGGGAGGUAACGCAUAUACUAAUCACCGAAAUUGUUUUUCAUAGUGUUGAUAUUCAUUGCUAAAUCCUUAUUUCAUUUAGGAUUUGUUUUUGCUGCUAGCCCACUUUAGUAAUAUAUUAGAGUUUGUUAUCUAGUUGAAAUGGGAUCGAUGCUAUCGUCCUUUAAUAGGAGAUGUUGCUAUUUCUAUGUUUAGGGAGAGUGUGUGUAGUUUUUUUAAGAAGGGGAGAGGGUUACGUGAGUUGGAGUUGAAAGAAUUUUAGAGAGGGGUCUUUGUAAAAAAGAGCCCUUCUUCUCUUCAGAGUGAUUUAUUCCUCUCUCCAAUUUUUUUUCACUAUUUUUGUUUGAUAUAAUUGGUAUUUAUUCUAACUCAUGAGCCGACACGUUUAAUCUACUCGGGAUAGCAAGUCAAUUCUUGAGAUAGGUGAUGGAUCUUAUAAAGGAAUAUGCUAUAGGUUUCUCCCAACUCAUCCAAAAGUGUCACUACAGAAAAAAGGGAAUUUUCCGACUAGAGGAAGCCGACCCUAGGUAGAAGUAUGGGCGAUUUUGGCCCCGGCGCUAAAAUUUGCCGAAAUUCGCCGAUGGCAGAGGAAGUAGACGACGCUUAUAAGCGUUGUCGGAGUCAACCAGAAGGGAUGAGUUGCUGCCCUUUCCAUUCCGUUCAAUUUGGGAUGAGUCUAGAAACUCAUGACCUAAGGGAAUUUAGUUAGUUGGCAGAGGACAUGACUUUUCAACAAAAAUAUCUGAAAUUAGAAGCUAACUUGGAGGCCAAGUUCUAUACAAGAAGUUUGGACAACGUGAAGAAAAGAUUUGCCCAAGAGUAUUCAUAAGGUACAAUUGGAUUGCUUAGUAUCAACAACCUGCUGGUAUUUAUGGAAAGAACGAAACAGGUGAAUAUUUCAGUUCGAAGCAAACUCUCCAAGCAAAAUCCUGAAGCAAUGCUUUUACUUACUAGAAAGCUAACUUCAAUUUACCGCGGAAGAUUCAAGCAGCAAAUAACGGAUGUUUUAAGCAAGUUCAAAGCUGCAGACUGAGAUUUUGUUUUGCACUUUCCAAAAGAGUGUUUGGUAAUAAGCAAGCUGUAACUCACACCUCUCUUGGUGCAGCUGUGGAGGGGCUCCUUCUCGAAGCAAAACUCACAGUUGCACUACCUAUUUUAAAUAGGCUCAGGAAGUGGGACCUUUUGAUCAAUAAAAUUUUAUGAGAAAGGUAAUCUCUAUUUUUCAUAAUUUCAGUUAAAUAUUUAAAUUUUAUUUAGAAAUAAAUCCAAUUAGGCUAAAUUGGAUAAAUAGCAAACAUUAUCUUUACUGAAAAUAACAGUUCCAAAGACGACCCUUUUCAGUGGUGUAUUUAUAUAUUAACCAAGCUAGCAACCUAAGAAGAGGGUGGAUUAAUUAUAUUUCUUUAAAAAAAAAAAAAUAACUGCAACUUAGAUUUUCUUAAGUACUAUAACUGCAGUGUUGUGAAGGAACAGAUCGAGUAAUAAAAUAAUAAAUAACAAACAAACUAGUGGUAAAUGCCUUUACUACUCCAUUAAUGUACGGUCGGCUAGUCGUUGGGAUGCUCGGUGUGCUGCAGAUGUGACAAGUCCAGCCGCUAUGGUUCUAGAGGUGGUUUCAUCCUCCUUUUCCAUAGUUGCUCAUUUCUCUGGGGAUGGCUCUUGAAUUUAUCUAUUUUUAUCCAUUCCACUGGAGAUGACUCCUGGCUUUUGGGAAGCGGCUCCUGACCAUUCGCAGGGUCAGCUCCUCUUGCAUGAGACGGUUCCCAGCUUUAUAUAGGUCGACUCCUGAACUCGGGAGAUGACUCAUUCCUUGUGUUGCUCAACUCUUGAGUUUGGGUGAUGGCUUCUGAGUACUUGGGAGAUGACUCAUUCCUUGUGUUGAACAUAGAGAAUAUGGCUACUAGUUAUCAAGAUGAAAAGAAGAGGGACUGGCAAUAGUGGUCGGUGGUGUUCGAUGGGAGGUGCAUGGAGGUUUGAGGGGCUCUUAAAUAGAGCAGAGCCAGGGUCUCCUUCAGCCCUAAAAGUCUUCCCAUCUUCGGACUCCCAUAGGGAGUCGAAGAAGAAGGUGACUCCCAUCUGGAGCUUGCCUCUUCAUGGCAUGUGCGUCUAUUUUCUUUAACAAAGGCCUUUGCGAUCUUUGGGCUGGUUCGGUCAAGUGGACCAGGCCCAAUUCAGUAUUACUACCUUUAAAAGGGCCGCGUAUUGCAAAUCACUUGGUGGAUAUCAAAUAAGUUAAGACCUCACAAUCUCUAGGGAUGGUACACUAAUCAGAAACCUAAGUGAUUGGACAACUCUAUAUUGUUAAGCAAACUUAAUUCCUGUUUUGUCUCCCAUUUGAGCAACUCAUAUCAAAAUAGUAUACAUAGGGUGCCUUAGCUCCCUCAAAUUCUUCAAGAUAUACUUUAGUGAUUUUAUCCAUUGAUAAUUUCAUCCACUUUUCUAUUUUGACAUCUCCCCAUCUAUUUACAUUAACCAUAAGAGUGUGGUGAAGUUGAUUGGAAGUACCAAGUCUAUCCAAGCCAUCGCUUAUUAUUAUGAUUAACUUGUAUUUAUAAUUUCUUUUAAUUAUUACGUGUAGGUUCAUAUGCAUUAGCACAUGUUAUGCAACUAGUUAGCAUAAAAGCUUAUAUAAGACGUAGUAUUCUUUUCAACAAAUCUCAAGACAACAUGCUAACAUUGUUUGGGUUGAAAACUUGGUAUUAGACCUCUUCAAAAAUCAGGCAGCCUGUUCGAGCCUGAUUCAUUUUGGACAGAUCUAGACCUAAUUUUCAAACCCAAAUAGCCGAUUUGGGCCUAAAAUUUAAACCUACCUAUUAAACGAGCCGAGCUUGGAUUUACAUGGACCUAGCUAGAACGCGGUCUGAGUCUGAUAUUUAUAUUAUAUAUUAUAUAUGAUACAUAUAAUAUAACAUAACAUAACAUAAAAAAUAUUAUAUAAUAUACAAUAUUAUCAAAAUAUUUUUCACCUUCUUUCUCAUCUCAUCUUCCCCCUCCUCUCCUCCUCCCACUACCCCUAUUGCCUCUCACCCCCUCCCCUCCCUAGGUGCUUUUUUGUUUUUUUUUGUUUAAAAAAGUGAUUUUCCUGGCAAAGUUGCGGCCUGAAUAAACAAUCCGAAGUCAUUGGAUCUGGGAAGUAAAACUGAAUGUCGGAUCGGGCCGGAUCGGGCCGGAUCGGGCCGGAUAUGAACCGAAAAAAUUAAAGGAUAGCCAGGCUCGAAUUCGGCCCAGCCCGUCCGCUGGGCAGGUCUACCUAACCUUAGCGGUUCUUUAGGCCAUCCACAUGUCCAAUGAGCUCGCACCCUUAUCUUUUUUCUCUCUCUUAUCUCUGGCUUCCUUGCUCCCUCGCUGCCAUCCGACAAGCCUCCCGGAGAGCAGCAGCAUGACCACCACCCCCACCCUCGGUCUACUAAAACUCCUCCCCAGCUCUAUCCCCUCCUCCAAACUCAUCCCAAAACCAUCAUCAGACCUCCCACUUUUGUCCCGGACCCACUCCCCCCUUCCUCACCUCGAACAUGCCGCCCUCCAUUUUCUCUCCAAAGCAUUCCCCCUCCCUGCCACGGCUGCGGCCCUGUCCCUUCCCCUCUUCCUCGACCCCAAGGCAAGUUCCAUUCCUCACCUCCCGUGCUCCUUCUCUCUCUCCCACCUCCUCCUCUCCUCGUCUUUCCUCGUUCUAAUUGAUAUCAUGGAUUUCAUGGAUCGAAGGAUGCUCUGGCGGUCGGCGGGGAGUUUGGGAUCUUGGAAGGCCGGACGUUAUCGCUGAUCCACCCGGUGGUGAUGGGAAGCCUCUUCUUCUACACGCUGUGGGCUGGUUAUUUGGGAUGGCAGUGGCGCCGCGUGCGGACCAUCCAGGACGAGAUCAACGAGCUCAAGAAGCAGGUGAAGGCCCCCGCCCAGCCCGCUGCCGCUGUUGCCGCCGGGGCCGACGGCACCCGGGAGGCUCCGCCGCCAACUGCAGCGAUCUCCCCGGUGGAAGCCAAGAUUCAGCAGCUCACCGAGGUCAGUGAGGGCUUCUGUUUUGAGUCUGUAAAGUUACAUUUUUUUCUGAAACGAGAUCCCCAAAGUUUUGUUUGGUAGUUUCUUUUUUCCUUUUGUGAUUCUAAAUCGUCCAUCUACUUUUUAAAAUAAUAAUAAGAAUUUUUUCAGGAAAGGAAGAUGUUGAUCAAGGGGUCGUACCGGGAUCGGCACUACAAUGCGGGGUCGAUACUGUUGGGGUUCGGAGUGUUCGAGUCGGUGGGUGGUGGCCUCAACACAUGGUUCCGCUCCGGGAAGCUCUUUCCGGGGCCCCACCUUUUCGCCGGCGCUGGUACGUACUUGCUUCAUAUGUUAAUUUCGGCAGCACAAUGCCAUCUCAAUAAUACCAUUCGAUAAGUCACUCAGCUCCUGUUUUAUCCUUAUUGCUCCCAUGUCAUGAAAUGAAGUGAAAUGAAUGGUGCAAGGCAGCUGAGUGAUUUUUGUGAGAUACCAAUAACAUAGCACUGCUCGGCAACGAAAAUACCCAUGGUAGAUAAGCCAUAUUAGGUCUUGUGGACUUAGAAGCUAAGCUUAUAUGGAUUAGACACUCAAAUGUGGCAUGCACAAUGCAUGUGGAUGAAGAAAUCUGGUUAUAGGCAUGGAGCUUCAUGAGUGCACUAUCAAAAUUUGAGAGAGCAAAAUUACAUAUUUCUUGGCCUUCUCUUGAUAAUAGAAUGGGACUGUAAGAUGUUUUCUGUUAAAAUUCUCUUAUAUUCUGUACUGGGAUAUAUAAGCCUCAAUAAUUAAUCAGUGGCUCCAAGAGUCUGUCCUUGCAUGCUUUUCUCGCUAUAUAAAAAGACUUGUCGAUUACUAACUCAUGAUCAGUAGGGGCAGGAGCCUCUAUAAUUGGUUUGGUUAUAAAAACUGUAUGUGAUGCACAUGGCACCCUAACAUGCCAAGCUGUUGGGAUUCGUGGCAGAAAGAAAUGGGAGUUAGAUAACAAAUGAGUUCAGUGAGAAUUCAGGACUUUUGUAAAGGUAGGUAGGAUUUGAGAGGUGCAGAUGCACCUGCCCGAGUUCCCACUAUAACAAUAUCCGUAAUAAUAGUAGAUACUAUUAUAUAUAAAAGUAAUUCUUUGUUGGUCAUCCAUCAUCCGAAUUAAAUGUUUAAUUAUUUGUCUCACAUGUAGUUAUGUUAGAAAGCAAACCUAAUCGAGAAAAGGAGGGGAAAAAUAAGAGAGAAAUUUUUAAGAAACUGGAAACUUGAAGAAAAACCAAUUUCUCAACUGUCUCUCUCUAAAAGGAAACAAGAUCAGAAAUAAUUUUUUUUGGGUAAGCGAUCAUAAAUAAUAUUCUUUAAUAAGUUUAGAAUCACACACGUGGGAUGCAUGUGAUUUAUUCUAGAGAUGGUAGCAUUAGGUGGAUAAUUGAAGUAAGAAGGCAAAAGAAACAUAAUUAAAAUUCCCUCUUCUCCACACCCUCCCUGUGCCCUGUUUCCCCAUAUCAUGCCUCUUUCUCUCUCUAUCUUUUCACUCUUUCUGGUUGGAUUUUUGAAGUAAAGAAGGAUGUCAUAAUAAUUUUAGAGGCUUUAUUUCUCAUUUUUCUAUUCUAACUGCAUUGGGAUUUUAAAUCCUUUUAUAAUUAGAAAAUUUUCUUCUACAAAGAAGAAUCCAAUUGCAAAUUGAAAGUUCAGUCAUAUAGAGCUCUUUGGUUAAACAUAGAAGAUGAAGGAAUGACAACCAUCUGUCCUUCCUCUCAUGCACAUGGCACAUACUAAAAUCUUGUUAAUGAAAGGCAAAUACAAUUCCAUCCUUAAUCCAUCUUUCCUUUUUCCAUUCUCAAUACCCUUUGCUUUUCAGCUUUUCUUUAUCGAACCUUAGUAUCAUUAUAUGAUCAUCUCACCCGAGAUACUAUCACUACAAUCUUCUUUUGUGUUUAUGCGCCAUUAAUUGUAAGUUAUUGUCCUACCUCACCACAAUAUCUCCUACAUCCAUGGUUGCCACCCUACCAUCUCUCUCUCUCUCUCCCUCUUUCACCCUGAUACUCCAUUAAUGCUUUGCUUCUCUCUCUAUGCUUAAGUGAUCCUGCUCUUCACCCUCUAUCAUCCUACCUAAACAAAAUUACUUCUCCACCAACUCGACAAACUAUUAGUGCUCCAUCUAUCAUCAUUGCUACCUCUCCCCAUCUCUCUCUCCCUUCAUAUUCUAUUGCGCUACUCUUAUUCCUUUAUCCUUUAGCAUGGUGUGCAAUGAUAGAUCUAGGGAUUUUAUAUAGGGGACACUAUUCUUAACAGAUGAUAGCUACAAUCUUAAUUAGAAGUUAGUUUUGUCACAAGUAAACCUAACAUAUAGAAGCCUAAGAAGUUCGUUUAAAAUGGAGUGAGCUACAUUUAUUCCUACUUCCAUGGUGCUUCAUCACUUGACCAUUUCUCUCUAUCUAUUUCUCUCUCCCCCCCAGACUCAAUUAAUGCUUUGCAUCUCUAUGCUCAAAUGAUCCUACUCUUGACCCUCUAUCAUCCUACUGAAACAACUCUUCUUACUCCACCAACUC
rnacentral:lncRNA from 1 species